rnacentral:rRNA from 1 species
GUCUAUGGCCAUGCCGCCCUGAACGUGCCCGAUCACCUCUGAUCUUGGAAGCUAAUAAGGGUCGAGCUUGGUUAGUACUUGGAUGGGAGACCACCUAGGAAUACCAAGUGCUGUAGGCA